rnacentral:rRNA from 1 species
CCUACGGGGGGCUGCAGUGGGGAAUAUUGCACAAUGGGCGCAAGCCUGAUGCAGCCAUGCCGCGUGUGUGGAGAGGGCCUUCGGGUUGUAAAGCACUUUCAGCGGGGAGGAAGGCGGUGAGGUUAAUAACCUCAUCGAUUGACGUUACCCGCAGAAGAAGCACCGGCUAACUCCGUGCCAGCAGCCGCGGUAAUACGGAGGGUGCAAGCGUUAAUCGGAAUUACUGGGCGUAAAGCGCACGCAGGCGGUCUGUCAAGUCGGAUGUGAAAUCCCCGGGCUCAACCUGGGAACUGCAUUCGAAACUGGCAGGCUAGAGUCUUGUAGAGGGGGGUAGAAUUCCAGGUGUAGCGGUGAAAUGCGUAGAGAUCUGGAGGAAUACCGGUGGCGAAGGCGGCCCCCUGGACAAAGACUGACGCUCAGGUGCGAAAGCGUGGGGAGCAAACAGGAUUAGAUACCCCAGUAGUC